UGUCUGGCAAAUUUCCAACAUAUAUUAUCAACAAAUAUUCUAUACAAAGAAAGAUAACUCCAAUUGAAAAUUAAUUGCUAUUGCACAAUAUUGUGCAAUUAGAUAUUUCUUGCUAUUGUGCAAUACUGUGCAAUUGAAAAUUUCUUGCUAUUGCGCACAAUACUUGAUAUGGAAUCCUGAUUUGGACCAACUUGAAAACUGGGCCCAUAAUCAAAAAUCAAAGUACAUAUUUAGAUAAAGCAUAUCAAAUAAGCCCAAUAAUUUAAUUUUUGUUAAAAUCAAACUUAGUUUAAUUUUGGACCCUUUGGACCUUAAUGUAGACCAAUUUGAAAACUGGAC
rnacentral:lncRNA from 1 species